UCCCCCUUCCUUCCCUACCUCCCCACCUGAAUGUAACUAUACUUUGCACAGUCCUCCUAUCCUUAUUCUUUCCCACCUCAGUAUACCUCUACCUCAAAAUCCCAGCCUUCUUCUGUCACUCCCCAGACCCUUAAAUCACCUCCUGACAUUUCUACCUUCCCACACUCUGCCUAAAAUCUCUAGCCCACCACCCCCCAGACACAACUUUUCCCCUGCCCUGCCUCUCUACCUCAUACCUACAUCCACAUCUUUCCCCAUCCCCUGACCUAUAUAUCAUGUCCACUCCCACCCCUGCCUUCUGUCAGGUCCCAGCAGCCUGACCUGCUCCUUAAGAGAGAAAGAAGUUAACUAGAUGGCAGUCGGGGGAAGUGGAAAGAUGGUUCAGGAGGUAAAACUACUUGUCAUAUAAACCUGGAGACUGGAAUACAAUACAUGGA
rnacentral:lncRNA from 1 species